rfam:Gossypium raimondii chromosome 1, whole genome shotgun sequence.
GUUAGUUUUGUGUAAUAUUUGUAACACAUUGUACUCCCAAUGAGAGGACCCAAGUUCAAACCUUGGAGAUGACA